rnacentral:lncRNA from 1 species
ACUACCGAUGCCAGGGCCUCAUGCCAGAGAUUCUGAUGGACUUGGAAUGGGGUGGAGCCUGAAGGCUGGCCUAUUCUAAAGGCUCUUCAGGGAUUUUUAAUAUGCAGCUAGGAUUGAAAAUCACUUAUGUAGACAUACAGUUUUUAUGUUUUAACAAACACGUUUAAGGCAAACAAACUACUGGGAUGAUCUUUGGAUGCACCACAGAACUUUUUCAGAAGCAUUUGGGAGUCCCAGUGAUUUCUGCUUCUAAAAGAGUGCUAGUGAAGGAGGGAUUUUGAUUGAGGGCUUAUUUGGCUGCCUUAGUGUUCUCUCCUAACCAGAAGCCUUUCUGUUUUGGAAUCAGGGAGCACGUCUUUUGUGGGCUGCGAAAAGCUCUAGGUGGAAGGGAAGAGCAUCAGGUGGUGAAGCUGAACCAGGAGAGUCUAAAAACCACGUGGCCUCUCAGGCACCCUCGAGUCUAGAGGGAGUUCCCUGACCUCACAUUUGAGAGUGAUUCUAGGGGCCAAUACCUUGAGACCAGAGGCAACAGAAAGAGGAUUGAGUGAAGCAGGAAGCCUGCAAAGCCCUGGAUUCCAAUCCAGCUCUAGCUGCGAGGCGCUGGGCACGGGUCACUGCUCUGCAGCUCUGCUUGCUUGU